UGCAGAGUCAGGUUCCCUCUCUCUGUCUCCCUCUCUGUCUCUCUCUCUCUACGUCUCUCUCUGUCUCUGUCUCCCUCUGUCUCAAUCUCUCCCCCAUCUCUCUCUGUCUCUCUCCCCCUGUAUCAAUCUCUCCCUCUAUCUUUGUUUCUCCCCAUCUCUGCCUCUCUCUCUUUCUCCCUGUUUCUCUCUCCCUCUGUCUCAAUUUCUACCCCAUCUCUCUCUCUCCCUCUGCCUCUCUCUGUCUCUCUCCCUCUCUGUCUCUCUCUGUCUCUGUCUCUCUCCCUCUGCCUCUCUCUCUUUCUCUCUCCCUCUCUCUCUGUGUCUCUCUCCCUCUCUCUUCUGUCUCUCUCUCUCUCUGUGUCUCUCUCCCUGUCUCUGUCUCUCUCCCUCUGCCUCUCUCUCUCUCUCCCUCUGCCUCUCUCUCUCUCCCUCUGCCUCUCUCUCUGUCUUUCUUCCUCUGUCUCUCUCCCUCUGUCUCAAUCUCUCCCCCAUCUCUCUCUCCCUCUGCCCCCUCUCUUUCUCCCUCUGUCUCUCUCUGUUUCUCUCCCUUUGUCUCAGUCUCUUCCCUAUCUUUCUCUCUCCCUCUGCCUCUCUCUGUGUCUCUCUCCCUCUGUCUCUCUCUCUCUCCCUCUGCCUCUCUCUCUCUCCGUCUCUGUCUCUCUCCCUCUGCCUCUCUCUGUCUCUCUCCCUCUGUCUCUGUCUCUCUCCCUCUGUCUCUGUGUCUCUCCCUGUCUCUGUCUCUCUCUCUGUCUCUAUCUCUCUGUCUCUGUCUCUCUCCCUGUCUCUAUCUCUCUCCCUCUCUCUCUGUCUCUCUCCCUUUCUCCUCUCCCCAUUCCCCAUUUGUCUCUCAUGUUGUCAUUUUCUUCUUGGCUUCAUUCUUCAGACAAUUUCCACAUCCCUGGAUGACCCACGCAGAUUAGCACGCUCUCAGUAGAGACGGGGUUUUACCGUGUUAUCCAGGAUGGUCUUGAUCUCCUGACCUUGUGAUCCGCCUGCCUUGGCCUCCCAAGCUGGGAUUACAGGUGUGAGCCACCGCGCCCGGCCGAGAAGUCAAGUCUUUCAGGACAUACCUAAAGAAGAUAGCAUCCAUGGUGCAUGGAGCAUGUGCCUCACCAGGCAUCACCAUACCCACCACAGCUCAUGCGUGCGGAUGCCUUUGCUACCCAGGACGGCCAUACAAGGAAGCCAUUGGGUCAGUCCUGUGCACAAACGGCAUGUCAAGAAAUUAAAUGAUUUCCUCAGGGCCCCGCAAUUACCUUCAGCAAAGCUGAGAUUCCCAGCCUUCUCUCCGCUCCCUGAGACUGACUCUGAAUUGCUUUUCUGCUGGAGAUGAAAACAAGAACAGAAACAGUGGAAACUAAUCACAUUUUUAAAAGUUUUACAUAACCACUUAAUUAUAAUACGCCUGCCCCAAAAGCACUCCUAACGUCCUAACACAUGGUAACUUAUUUGUUUAAUUUUAUAAGUAUUUUCAGGGACAUGGUGGGAGGGAGAGCAUCA
rnacentral:lncRNA from 1 species